GGCCGGAGCGCGGGGCGGGGCCGAGGCGGCGAGUGUCUGGGCGAGCGUGGCUGGGCCCGGUCCUGGGCUGGGGGCAGGGGCUAGGGCCGGGUCCCGGGACAUGGCCGCUUACCAACAAGAAGGGCAGAUGCAGCUUCCCCGAGCUGAUGCCAUUCGUUCACGUCUCAUCGAUACUUUCUCUCUCAUCGAGCAUUUGCAAGGCUUGAGCCAAGCUGUGCUGCGACACACUAUCAGGAGUUACUUGAUCCUUCCCGCCAGAAGAAACUUAUGUUGGGAGAUCAACACCAGCUAGUGGGCGUCUCUAUAAAGCCUCAACGUAUAGAACAGAUUUCACAUGCCCAGAGGCUGUUGAGCAGGCUUCAUGUGCGCUGCAGUCAGAGGCCACCUCUUUCUUUGUGGGCCGGAUGGGUCCUUGAGUGUAUCCUUUCAUGUCACUCAUUUUUAUCCUGGCUGUUGAUCAUCUGCCUAAUGACUUAUUUUUUGCUUCCCAAACUCCAUUGUCUCAUUCUCACUGCUUAUGUUAUUGCUCUUAUUAUUUCAGCUGCAUAAAUCAGAAAGAACUCCACUCUGUAUGUUUCCUUAAGAGACAACAGGUCCUCUCUUCAAAAACUUCA
ensembl:lncRNA CATSPER2P1 CATSPER2 pseudogene 1